rnacentral:lncRNA from 1 species
CCAUACCAACAGGAGGCAACCCGGUGGUCUCCAUCAAAUCUAGAUCAUCAGGCGCUCACAACAGGAGGCCACCCUGCGGGCUGCGAUCAAAUCUAGACUGUCCGGUGCGCAACGACGAGAAGCCAACCUGUGGUUAACGGUAACGGUAACGGUAGGUGUACACGGGGUCGCCGAUCUCCCAUUUACCCGGCUAACAGAAAUAGAAUCAGGAUCCAUAUAACAGAAUCAGAAUAUAACAGAAAUCAGAAUCAGGAUCCGUAUAACAGAAACAGUCUCACAAACCCAUGGUGACCCACUUCAUCCCAACUCCACACAAACAAAGCAUAGC